rnacentral:rRNA from 1 species
AUGGCCGCCUCCGCCGCGGCCACCGAGAUGAGCCUCCUCAUCGGCGUCCGCAAGGACAUCUGGUUCAUAAAAGACGAGCUCAAGACGAUGCAAGCAUUCCUCAUGGCUGCCGAGAAAACAAAGAACAAAAACAUCCUACUGAAGGUGUGGGCAGAGCAAGUAAGAGAUCUAGCAUAUGGUAUUGAGGAUUGUCUUGAUGAAUUUAUGGUGCAUGUGGGAAGCCAGAGCCGUUCUCGACGGCUGCUUAAGCUGAAAGAUCGGUAUCGGAUUGCCAGCCAAAUCCGUGAUCUCAAAGCAAGAGUUGAAGAAGUGAGCAAUAGGAAUGCACGUUAUAACUUGAUCAACACUGAUGCCUUCAGCAACAUUGAUGAGGUGAAUUCCAGCAUGGAAGAUGUUCGUAGCCACUCAGCUGGUAACAUUGAUGAGGCAGAGCUUGUGGGCUUUGUUAAGCCUAAAGAGGAGUUGAUUAAGAUGGUGGAUGUUAACUCCAGAGAUGGUCUUUCCAAGGUGAUAUGUGUCGUUGGCAUGGGCGGUUUAGGUAAGACUACUCUAGCAAGGAAGGCAUAUGAUCAGUGA